UUAAAGAGUUCGUAGGUGGUUGAAAAAGUUAGUGGUGAAAUCCCAGAGCUUAACUCUGGAACUGCCAUUAAAACUUUUCAGCUAGAGUAUGAUAGAGGAAAGCAGAAUUUCUAGUGUAGAGGUGAAAUUCGUAGAUAUUAGAAAGAAUACCAAUUGCGAAGGCAGCUUUCUGGAUCAUUACUGACACUGAGGAACGAAAGCAUGGGUAGCGAAGAGGAUUAGAUACCCUCGUAGUCCAUGCCGUAAACGAUGUGUGUUAGACGUUGGAAAUUUAUUUUCAGUGUCGCAGCGAAAGCGAUAAACACACCGCCUGGGGAGUACGACCGCAAGGUUAAAACUCAAAUGAAUUGACGGGGACCCGCACAAGUAGUGGAGCAUGUGGUUUAAUUCGAAGAUACGCGCAGAACCUUACCAACACUUGACAUGUUCGUCGCGACUCUAAGAGAUUAGAGUUUUCGGUUCGGCCGGACGAAACACAGGUGCUGCAUGGCUGUCGUCAGCUCGUGUCGUGAGAUGUUGGGUUAAGUCCCGCAACGAGCGCAACCCUCACUUUUAGUUGCCAUCAUUAAGUUGGGCACUCUGAAAGAACUGCCAGUGAUAAGCUGGAGGAAGGUGGGGAUGACGUCAAGUCCUCAUGGCCCUUACGUGUUGGGCUACACACGUGCUACAAUGGUAUCUACAACAGGAAGCAAAACUGCGAAGUUAAGCAAAUCCCUAAAAGAUACCUCAGUUCGGAUUGCACUCUGCAACUCGAGUGCAUGAAGCUGGAAUUACUAGUAAUCGUGGAUCAGCGUGCCACGGUGAAUGCGUUCCCGGGUCUUGUACACACCGCCCGUCACACCAUGGGAGUUGGUUCUACCUUAAGGCAAGGUUUUAAACCCUUGACCACGGUAUAGUCAGCGACUGGGGUGAAGUCGUAACAAGGUAGCCGUAGGGGAACCUGCGGCUGGAUUACCUCCUUU
rnacentral:rRNA from 1 species